UAAGGACAAGAAGACCCUAAGAAUUUUAAAAAUUUCAAUAAAAUGCUGUAUUUUAUUGAAAUUUUUUAAUUGGGGCGAUUAUUAAAUAUUAAAAACUUUAAUUUUUUUAAAAAAGAACCAAUAAUAUUGGCUAUUUGAAAAAAUACUCUAGGGAUAACAGCGUAAUAAUUUUUGAUAGUUCUUAUAGACAAAAUAGUUUGCGACCUCGAUGUUGGAUUAGGAUUCUUUUUUAAUGAAGAAGUUAAAAAAAGAAGUUUGUUCAACUUUUAAAAUCCUACUUGAUCUGAGUUCAGACCGG
rnacentral:rRNA from 1 species